GUACUUAGGCAAUCGGGAUCUUGCUUUAAGAAAAGGUAGGCAUUGGAGUCAGGCUGCUGGAGUAUGAAUCACUAUGCUAUCAUUUUUCAUUUGUUUUUGCUCUGUUACAUUAGGAAAGUUAUGUAGAAUUUUGUGCCUCAGUUUCCUCAUUCAAUAUGGGUGUAAUAACUGUGCCUGUCUUGUAGGAUUAUUGUGAGGCCCAAGUGCAAUAAUAUAUAGUACACUGUGUCUGGCAUCUAGUAAGCAUUCAUUAAGAUGACAUGAAGAUAACACAGAUAUAUCUUAACAUGUAAUUAUGAUUUUGCUUAUUCAAGGCCAAGCAUUCCAAUUUAAUGGAGUUAGGCAAACACAGUAAAUUCAUUGCUCUUUCCUUUUUAUGCUACUUCCUUUGAAGAGGCAGUCAAGUUCCAUUUGACUGAUUCGGAACUUUUUAGCAAUGUAUAUUAUGCUGACUUCACUCUUAUGCGCUCUUGGGGCUAUAAUUCAUCAAGUUAGGCGAGCAAAGAAGUGUGUUGGUGAAAGAGAAAUGAGGAAGAACAAGGAAGAAAAAAAGGGUCAUGAGCUUAUUCACUGCCAAUAUUUAUUAUAUGGAACAAUGACCAUCCUUCAGAAGUGUUUGUUCUCUAUUAUACUGUAGGUGUGGAAGAAUUAUCAUUGCUCAAUAGCUGUCUCAGUCACUACCUGAUAGACUUGGGAGGUCUGGCUAUUUCAGGGCGCAUUUGACAUACAGUGACAUUUUUGGAUUAAAGCUUUCAUGAUGAGUGCCAGUCUGGGUCCAAAAGGGUUGAAAGCUGUCGCCAUCUAUAGGCUAGUUGUUUGUAGUAAAAUACUUUCCCUCACUGCAUUAGGUUCUUGGUACCAUUUAUCUAGCAGAGUUCUUCAGUGGGCUUGAGGCUUAGCAGUCAAGUUAAAACAAUAACCAACAUCCCAAACCCAGUGGCUGUCAAAUUUCAGUGAGGUGGCAUAGAACUUUAGCAUGAACUUGAGCUUGGGUUCAGCUAGACUUUCAUAUAAAUCCUUGUUUGAAGUUAGUAGCUGUGUGAUCUUGGGCACUGAUAUUAAACCUUUAUGAGAAAGUUAUGUCUGAAAUAUGGGAAAUAAACCUUCCACUUAGGUUGUUGUGAAGAUUCAAUGAGUUGUAACGAUUGUAUACACUAUAAUGAUCUAUAUUACAGUUGUUUCAUAAAUAUGAUUGCCUUCAUUUUAUUCUUUCCUUGUCUCGUUCUUCCCAGUAUCUUACAGACAGCAAGUUGAACAUUGUGGGAUGCAUGAGCUAUUGAGGCCUUUGCAGCUUUCUGCUACAUGGAGGCUAGGGCCAGAGUCAAGAUUUAUGCUUUGCAGCACACUGGUCAGCUGUUUUUGCAAAUCAGAUUAAAUGAUUUUUAAAUGAGGCUGAGAGCAUGGGAGAUACUAAUGUGUGUUUCCUUGUGAGCUACUGCAUAAGUUAGGAAAUUGAAAUACAGAAAGAUGAAAAGUGAUUUGCCCAAGCAUAUAGAUCAAAGCUGUGGCAGAACCAGGACUGGAACCUAUAUCUCUCUACUAAUGGUUUUUUUAAAAAAAUAACCUUGUUUCAAAAAUAUUAAAAAGUCACAAGAAAGGUAAACAUGUGGAUAAACAAAAUGAAGAAAAUAAAAAUUAUCCAGUAAUAACAUA
rnacentral:lncRNA from 1 species